rnacentral:lncRNA from 1 species
GCGGCCGCAGUUCGCGCCCCGGCGCCCUGGCGAUGCCGGACCAGAUCUCCGUGUCGGAAUUCGUGGCCGAGACCCUUGAGGACUACAAGGCGCCCACGGCCUCUAGCUUCACCAUGCGCACGGCCCAGUGCCGGGACACCGUGGCGGCCAUCGAGGAGGUUUAGUCUCCACUGCCAGCUGCCAUGGGCAAGCAGAACAGCAAGCUGGGUCCUGAGGUAUUGCAGGCCCUGCGGAAACACAGGGAGUUCACCAAUCAUGAGCUUCAGGAGUGGUACAAGGGCUUCCUCAAUGACUGUCCUACUGGCUACCUGACCAUGGACAAUUUCAAGAUCUAGGCCAACUUCUUCCCCUACAGAGAUACCUCCAAGUUCGCUGAACAUGUCUUCCACAUGUUUGACACCAACAGCGACAGCACCAUCGACUUCCAAGUGUUCAUCAUUGCUCUUAGCAUGACCUCUCGGGGCAAGCUGGAACAGAAGGUCAAGUGGGCCUUCAGCAUGUCUGACCUAGACAGCAAUGGCUACAUCAGCUGCAGUGAAAUGCUGGAGUUAGUGCAGAUACCUGCACUUGACAGGGCCUGGCGCAUGGGGAGUGCAGGGAUCCAGGACCCCCAUCCCCAACCCCAUACACCAGGUCAUUCCUCUGCCCACUUGCUACCUGGUGUACUAAAGGACUGCAUGUCUUUGCAGAGAGUAACGAUAAAAGCCAAGCAUCUAUUGAUUGCUUGCUGGACAUCAGGCCCCAGCUGAGCUCAUCCAU